GGGGAUAGGUAAUAGGGGUUAGAGGUUAAGGGUUAGGGGUUAGGGGUUAGAGCCUGGGUUUAGGGGUUAGAGGUUAGAGGUUAGGGGAUAGGGGUUAGGGGUUAGAGGUUAGGGGUUAUGGGAAUAGGGGUUAGGGGUUAGAGGUUAGGGAAUAGGGGUUAGAGGUUAGGGGUUAGGGGUCAGAGGAUAGCGGUUAGAGUCAGGCAGUAACAGGUGAUAGCAGCAGCAGCUAGAGAGUAGUCAAGGCCCGUGAUGCUGCAAAGCGUUUCAAUGAGACUCCGUCAUCGCCAACCAAUCAGGUCCUCAGCCUGCUGCGUCUGUCUGCGUGGGGGGAGGGGCCAAAGACUGUCC
rnacentral:lncRNA from 1 species